GAUGAACGCUGGCGGCGUGCCUAAUACAUGCAAGUCGAGCGAACAGACGAGGAGCUUGCUCCUCUGACGUUAGCGGCGGACGGGUGAGUAACACGUGGAUAACCUACCUAUAAGACUGGGAUAACUUCGGGAAACCGGAGCUAAUACCGGAUAAUAUAUUGAACCGCAUGGUUCAAUAGUGAAAGACGGUUUUGCUGUCACUUCUAGAUGGAUCCGCGCCGCAUUAGCUAGUUGUUAAGGUAACGGCUUACCAAGGCGACGAUGCGUAGCCGACCUGAGAGGGGGAUCGGCCACACUGGAACGGAGACACGGUCCAGACUCCUACGGGAGGCAGCAGUAGGGAAUCUUCCGCAAUGGGCGAAAGCCUGACGGAGCAACGCCGCGUGAGUGAUGAAGGUCUUCGGAUCGUAAAACUCUGUUAUUAGGGAAGAACAAAUGUGUAAGUAACUAUGCACGUCUUGACGGUACCUAAUCAGAAAGCCACGGCUAACUACGUG
rnacentral:rRNA from 1 species